rnacentral:rRNA from 1 species
GUACGGUCGCAAGGCUAAAACUCAAAGGAAUUGACGGGGGCUCACACAAGCGGUGAGCAUGUGGCUUAAUUCGAAGCAACGCGAAGAACCUUAUCCCAGGCUUGACAUCCAGGUAUUAGUCCUAUGAAAGUAGGAUGACAGUCGCAAGACCGGAACUUGGACAGGUGCUGCAUGGCUGUCGUCAGCUCGUGCUGUGAAGUGUCGGGUUAAGUCCCUCAACGAGCGAAACCCCUAUCGUUAGUUGCGAACAGGUAAUGCUGCGGACUCUAGCGAGACUGCCGGUGUCAAACCGGAGGAAGGUGGGGAUGACGUCAAGUCCUCAUGGCCCUUAUGCCUGGGGCUGCACACGUGCUACAAUGGUGAAUACAGAACGAUGCAAGACCGCGAGGUGGAGCAAAUCGCUUAAAGUUCACCCCAGUUCAGAUAGGAGGCUGCAACCCGCCUCCUUGAAGUCGGAAUCGCUAGUAAUCGCGGAUCAGCUACGCCGCGGUGAAUAUGUUCCUGAGCCUUGUACACACCGCCCGUCAAGUCAUGGGAGCUGGCAGUGCCCGAAGCCGCGCAAAUUCAUGCGUGUCCACGGCAAGGCUGGUGACUGGGGCU